UACGAAGGGGACUAGCGUUGUUCGGAAUUACUGGGCGUAAAGCGUACGUAGGCGGCGGAUUAAGUCGAAUGUUAAAGCCUGAGGCUCAACCUCAGAGAUGCACUCGAUACUGGUCUGCUAGAGGGCGAUAGAGGAAAGCGGAAUUCCCAGUGUAGCGGUGAAAUGCGUAGAUAUUGGGAGGAACAUCAGUAGCGAAGGCGGCUUUCUGGGUCGCACCUGACGCUGAGGUGCGAAAGCGUGGGGAGCAAACGGG
rnacentral:rRNA from 1 species